rnacentral:lncRNA from 1 species
UUGGAAGAAGCUAUUAAAUUUUUAACACCGUUGAAGAACUUGGUGAAGAACAAGAUAGAGACUCAUCUUUUUGCCUUUGAGAUUUACUUUAGGAAAGAAAAGUUUCUUUUGAUGCUACAAUCAGUAAAGAGGGCAUUUGCUAUUGAUUCUAGUCAUCCCUGGCUUCAUGAGUGUAUGAUUCGUCUCUUUAAUACUGGUAUGUUUUUGUUUUCCAUUACUUAAGUAUUUGAUACAGUGGUUGAUGGUGACGGUAUAAGUGGUCUGUACAAGUUUAUCAUAAACCAAAUGAUUUUAAAGCUGUCACAUACUAAAUUAGCUAAGGGAAAAGCAGGGCUUUUUUCUUUAUGAUGAAGGUUUUUAUUUUAAGGAUACAAGUAUUACCUGAUUUUGACAUAGAAUUAUUCAGUCCAGAUAUUUGAGAAUCAUCUUUGUUUCUGUUUCUAAAAAGUUACAUGUAAGUUGAAAUUUUGAACCAUAUUUUGUUAUGUAAAACUUCUUAGUAAAUUGUUUUGAAAUUGAAGAAUCUCUUUGAAAUUGACUGUUUUCUCCUUAUUUAUCUGUAUUGUAGAUCUGAAUUUGCAUGAAUUAUGUUUUCUUAGCACAAUUCGAGUCAUAAAAUUUUUUGUUACUUUAAAACAAUUAUCUGUAUCUUCAAAUAUUUUGACAAUCAGAUCAGU